GAUGAACGCUGGCAGCGUGCUUAACACAUGCAAGUCGAGCGGAAAGGCCCUUCGGGGUACUCGAGCGGCGAACGGGUGAGUAACACGUGAGCAACCUGCCCUAGGCUUUGGGAUAACCCCGGGAAACCGGGGCUAAUACCGAAUAGGACCUGACCCCGCAUGGGGUUGGGUGGAAAGUUUUUCGGCCUGGGAUGGGCUCGCGGCCUAUCAGCUUGUUGGUGGGGUGAUGGCCUACCAGGGCGACGACGGGUAGCCGGCCUGAGAGGGCGACCGGCCACACUGGGACUGAGACACGGCCCAGACUCCUACGGGAGGCAACAGUGGGGAAUAUUGCGCAAUGGGCGGGAGCCUGAUGCAGCGGCGCCGCGUGAGGGAUGACGGCCUUCGGGUUGUAAACCUCUUUCAGCAGGGACGAAGCGUAAGUGACGGUACCUGCAGAAGAAGCGCCGGCCAACUACGUGCCAGCAGCCGCCGUAA
rnacentral:rRNA from 1 species